GCAUGCAUGUAACGAAAGUGAUCUAAAGUGAUGAUGUUGAAUUUUCUAUGCAAAAUAUAGAAUGCUGAAUUUUCUUUGAAAAAUGCUAAAUGGUAGCUGUUAUAUGCUGAAAUUCUCUAAACCAUAUGCAUGAAACAUAACCAAUAGUGAAUGCCUUUACAAGAUGCAUUGAAGUAAUCACUUACGCAUAUUUUCUUAAACUCCUCCAUUUUAAAUGGCAUCUCUCUUUUUCAAUGUUAAAUUUACUUCAUUUUGCAUGCACUUAAAUAUUUUGUCAUCAUAAAAAAGGGAGAGAUUGUUGCCUUGAGAAUUGAUUUUGAUGAGCACAAAACAUUUGAGAGGGGUACUAAUGAUCUUUGUCUUCGGAGAUGUUUUAAAAGUUUAUUUCAGGAGAUCCAAGAAAUUUUGAAUUGAAAGAAAUGUUUGAAAUUGGCCAAAAUAGCAAAUUCUUUGGAUUGGAGGUGAAGUUGAAGUUUUUCGGAAGCCUCAAAAUCAUUCAAGAUGAUAUCAAAUCUUUUGGAAACAAUUUCAGAUUUUUUUGAAAGUUUAAAAAUGAAGAAAAGCCACUUUGGGCAAAAAGGGGCGACCUUUAGGUCGACCCUUUUUGAAAAGGCAGUCAACACAUUUUUUUUGGCUUGGCACUCAAAAAAGGACGACGCCUGGGUCGUCCCCUAUAAAAAGGGGCAACCCUUAGGUCAUCCCCUGCUAUUCUUCCGGCCAAAAUAGAGCGCAGAAAUUUUUUGGAUGAAAAGAGGCGACCCUUUUUCAGGGGUCGCUCAUAGAAAACGAUCCUUAGGUCAAUCCCCUGCUGUUUCGCAGACCAAAAUAGAGCGCAGAAAUUUUCUAGAUGAAAAUGGGCGAUCCAGGGGGCGAUCCCUUUCCAGAGAUCAACCUAAGAGGCGCCACCUGUGACGAAAAAAUCUGCAACGGCUAGUUUUCAGCCUGAUUUUGACGCAUUAAAUGCUUUCUAAACCCUCUCCAACGGCUCUAAAUGGCUAGUAACCCUGUCCAGCAUUGAUUGAGGAUAUAAAAACAAUCAAAGGAAGAAAAAAAUCAACAUUUAUCAAAAGAAAAUUGCAUUCAAAAGAUUUCCAGCUUUUAAGUCAAAAGAAGCAUUGAAUU
rnacentral:lncRNA from 1 species